UACGAGAGGCCCAAAGCGUUAUUCGGAAUUACUGGGCUUAAAGAGUUCGUAGGCGGCGCAGAAAGUAGGGUGUGAAAGGCCCUCGGCUCAACCGAGGAAAUUGCGCUCUAAACUACUGUGGCUUGGAGGGACCUAGAGGUGAGACGGAACUGAUGGUGGAGCGGUGAAAUGCGUUGAUAUCGAUCAGGAACACCGGGAGGCGAAGGCG
rnacentral:rRNA from 1 species